rnacentral:rRNA from 1 species
AUUGAACGCUGGCGGCAGGCUUAACACAUGCAAGUCGAGCGGAGAUGAGGUGCUUGCACCUUAUCUUAGCGGUGGACGGGUGAGUAAUGCUUAGGAAUCUGCCUAUUAGUGGGGGACAACAUUCCGAAAGGAAUGCUAAUACCGCAUACGUCCUACGGGAGAAAGCAGGGGAUCUUCGGACCUUGCGCUAAUAGAUGAGCCUAAGUCGGAUUAGCUAGUUGGUGGGGUAAAGGCCUACCAAGGCGACGAUCUGUAGCGGGUCUGAGAGGAUGAUCCGCCACACUGGGACUGAGACACGGCCCAGACUCCUACGGGAGGCAGCAGUGGGGAAUAUUGGACAAUGGGGGGACCCCUGACCCAGCCAUGCCGCGUGUGUGAAGAAGGCCUUAUGGUUGUAAAGCACUUUAAGCGGGGAGGAGGCUACUGAGACUAAUACUCUUGGAUAGUGGACGUUACUCGCAGAAUAAGCACCGGCUAACUCUGUGCCAGCCGCCGCCGUAACAC